UUUUUUUUCUUUUUUUUUUUUUUUUUGUGGGGGGGCAAUGGGCAACACCUGCAGCAUAUGGAGGUUCCCAGUCUAGGAGUCAAAUCGGAGCUGCAGCUGCCAGCCUAUGCCAGAGCCACAGCAACACCAGAUCUGAGCCCCAUCUGAGACCUAUGCCACAGCUUGCGGCAACACCAGAUCCUUAACCCACUGAGUAAGGCCAAGGAUCAAACCUGCACCAUUACGGAUACUAGUCAGGUUCUUAACCUGCUGAGCCACAACAGGUACUCCACCUUAUAAAUAUUUUAAGAGUUGUUAAUUUUUCUUCCCAGGACAGACUUUUUUCCUCAUUCUUUUUAAAACAUAGCUAUUUGCACAUUUGUUUUUGGCAAUAUUCCUUCUUUAAAAAUAUUUUUGCAUUUGAUUUUUAUUAAAGCUGUUUUUUGUCCAAAACCAUUCAAAAGUUUGGACUUCUGAAUUUCCAAUAUAAACUAUCCAUCUGGAAAACUCCAGGAAGUAUUCUCUUGAAAACAAGUAGAAGUGCUUUUUGCUUCAGCAUUUUAAAUAAAAUAUCGAAAUGGUUUCCCACUAUACAGGUAUUAUCUGCUUCAAAAAAACAAAUACUGGAGUUCCCGUCAUGGCUCAGCAGUUAACGAAUCUGACUAGCAUCCAUGAGGACACAGGUUCGAUCCCUGGCCUCACUCAGAGGGUUAUAUAGAUCCAGUGCUGCGGUGAGCUGUGGUGUAGGCUGCAGACGCAGCUUGGAUUCUGUGUUGCUGUGGCUGUGGUGUAGGCCAACCACUGUAGCUCCAAUUUGACCCUUAGCCUGGGAACCUCCAUAUGCCAUGGGUGUGGUCCUUAAAAAAGAAAAAGGCAAAAAUCUUGUUCUAUAAUCCAAUUCUGCUCUAAUUCUUCACUCCAUCACUUUCAAGCAUCAACCUUUUCUUCCAGACAAGCCUAUCUUCCUUCCUUACUGCUCUCUGAAUAGGCCUGCUCCCAUCUAAUGACAUCAUUUGCCUCCCAGGUCCUCAGUCAAAUACUGUCAGCCUAUCUCCCUAACCGCUUUCCUAAGUAUUCCCAACAUCCCUACUGCUUCUACUACCUCAAAUUUACCUAGAUUUAGAUUAGCCCUGGCUGGCUUGGUACCUCCUAUCAUUUCUGUCUAAUUCACCCUAUACACCAGUGCCAAAUUAAUCGUCUAACACACCUCAGCAUAGCAGGCUCAUCAGAAUCCAGAUCACUUCCGGCCUAAACUAUGCCACACAUUGAGAACUGGACCAUCCUUUUCUGUGUGGGGCUUAAUCCCUUUGCCCACUCUUUCUGCCCUGUGAAAGCCCUGUUCCCUUCUCUACAUACCCCUAUCAUGCAUGUUCCAGUUUAAAUUCCUUUGAGAAGCCUUCCCGAAUAACCAAUCUCUUUUUCCCAAAUGUGCUCCACAACUAGGCCCCAUGGAAAAGUAAUCUCUCCCUUUCCUUAAAUCCUCUCGCUGUUCUUGAUACUUUAAAUAGCUACACAUAUACAUUCUAAGCUCCCCAGCAAAGAGGAGGAGGUAAGUGUAUUUACUUCACAUUUUCCUCCUGGCAGUGUCUUGCAAAACAACAGGUCCUCCCAUAUUGAGUGAGAUGUUCAUUCUCAACUCCAGGCCUAUUCUUCCUCCGCUCCCUCGUUUGAACUGAGCUUCUCUCUCCCUUAGCUUCUAUUCAACCUAACCUAUUCUUCAAGGUACAACCUAACGAAUAUCACAGUCCCAUUUAAUCUCAUUUAUCCAGUUAAUACAGCACAUAUUUGGACACCUGCAGUCAUACGCUCUUUUCAAAUGUUGCUUAAUUCUCAUGUUUAUGUUCUAAACUCAAGACUACCAUUCUCUAAAGUAUACCCACUGAACCCCCCCUGACCAAAAUUCCAUCUCUUUGAAUUUGUUAUUUAUCAUACACUAUUUUUACCCAUCAAAAAUCCUAUCAAUCCUCCAAAGCCAAAUUCAAAUGAGAUUCCCUUCAAGUCCUUCCCUAAUGCCUCUUAGAUUUACUCUAAGUUUCUAAGGAACCCUGAACCAGUAUUCUAGUACUUAGCAUAUUUCAACUCAGAUUUACUUCUGUUAUAUAUCUGUGUCUUCCAUAAUUUAAGAAUUCAAGCUGGGCUCCUGGUAUUUCAUUUUUUCUCUUAUAAGCAACUCACAGGCAUUCAAAAUAUAAUUGAUGCAUUUAAAUAAACCGUAGCACAAAAUAGUUUGAAAAAGCAUUUUCAGGAACUGAGGCAUACAAAAAAAAAAAAAAAAAAAAAAAAAAAAAUCCUGUAAUACUGAAAUGGGUUGAACUGUGUCCACCCAAAGAUGUUAAGUUCUAACUUCGAGUACCUGUGAGUGUGACUAUUUGGAAAUAGGGCCUUUGUAGAUGUAAUUAAGGAUCUUGAAUUUGGAGUGAGCCCUUAAUCCAAUGACUGCUGUCUUCAUAAGAAACAGGAGAAGAUUUGACAUAAAGGGUAAGGAUAAUAAACUGAAGGCAGAAAGAGUUCCUAUCGUGGCUCAGCGGUUAACAAAUCUGACUAGCAUUGGUGAGGACGUAGAUCCGAUCCCUGGCCUCGCUCAGUGGGUUAAGGAUCCGGCGUUGCCAUGAGCUGUGGUGUUAGGUUGCAGAUGUGGCUCAGAGCCUGUGUUGCUGUAGCUGUGGCGUAGGCCAGUGGCUACAGCUCCAAUUGGACCCCUAGUCUGGGAACCUCCACAUGCCGAGAGUGCAGCCCUAAAAAGAAAACAAAAACAAAAAAACCUGAAGGCAGAAAAUGGAAUGAAUAGUAGUCUACAGCCAAGGAAUGCCAAGGAUUGCUUCCUGCUACCAGAAGCUAAGAGAAAGGCAUGGACUAGAUUCUCCACCAGUGGUUUCAAAAGGAGCCAACCUUGUCACCACCUAGAUCUCAGACUUCUAGCCUCUAGAACAAUGAGAGAUACGAAUUAAUGCUAAUUUGCUACGGCAACCUUAGGAAACCAAUACAAGUACCUCAACAGUAUAGCUUCCUAAAUACCUAUUACAGUGAACUUUUUAUCUCAAAAAAUAAGAGGAAUAAUGAAGUUCUUAACAGAUAAACAAAAUUCUUUGAGUUUUAUUUAACUAAAAUCAUAUUUUACCUAAACUUAUGAUGAGGUAGACCUUGCUCAUAAAUUACCAAUGGCUUAUCUUUUUUUUUUUUUCUUAAUUUUAUGGCCACAAAAAAAAAAA
rnacentral:lncRNA from 1 species